rnacentral:rRNA from 1 species
ACGGCCAUACUAUGCUAAAUAUACCGGUUCUCAUUAGAUCACCGAAGUCAAGCAUCAUUGGGCGCGGUCAGUACUUGGGUGGCUGACCACCUGGGAACACCGCGUGCCGUUG